AACGAACGCUGGCGGCAUGCCUAACACAUGCAAGUCGAACGAGACCUUCGGGUCUAGUGGCGCACGGGUGCGUAACGCGUGGGAACCUGCCCUUAGGUUCGGAAUAACUCCCCGAAAGGGGUGCUAAUACCGGAUAAUGUCUUCGGACCAAAGAUUUAUCGCCUUUGGAUGGGCCCGCGUUGGAUUAGCUAGUUGGUAGGGUAAAAGCCUACCAAGGCGACGAUCCAUAGCUGGUCUGAGAGGAUGAUCAGCCACACUGGGACUGAGACACGGCCCAGAUUCCUACGGGAGGCAGCAGUGGUGAAUAUUGGACAAUGGGCGAAAGCCUGAUCCAGCAAUGCCGCGUGAGUGAUGAAGGACUUAGGGUUGUAAAGCUCUUUUACCCGGGAUGAUAAUGACAGUACCGGGAGAAUAAGCUCCGGCUAACUCCGU
rnacentral:rRNA from 1 species